GCUGUGGCUGAGUGGUUAAAGAGCUGGCCUUGAAAUCUAAAGGUUGCAGGUUCAAGUUCUAUAGUCAGCC